UACAGAGGGGGCAAGCGUUAUUCGGAAUUAUUGGGCGUAAAGGGCGCGUAGGCGGCUUGGCAAGUGGAUGGUGAAAUCCCUCGGCUUAACCGAGGAACUGCCGUCCAAACUGCUUUGCUUGAGACCGGGAGAGGUGAGUGGAAUUCCCAGUGUAGCGGUGAAAUGCGUAGAUAUUGGGAGGAACACCAGUGGCGAAGGCGGCUCACUGGACCGGUAUUGACGCUGAGGCGCGAAAGCCAGGGGAGCAAACAGG
rnacentral:rRNA from 1 species